UGUAAUACCUUGAACUUUACAAAUUGGUGAAGUUGGAAAGUGGGGUUGAGAAGUGGCAUGUGCCCACAGGUUCUACUCUUUGUAAAGGUGUUUUUGGGUCAAUUUUGAGAACUAUUAGACUUUUGGAUGCAAGAAAGUGCGUCGUCGAAGCGAUUCCUGAACUUACUGCGUUAUAGUAUACUGAACUUCAGCAAUUUGCGUAGUUCGAGUGUGAGGAAUGAUAUUUGGAACCCUCCCACAUGUUCUAAAGGGUUUAAAGAUGGUUACACAUAAGUUUGAGAGUGAUCGGAAUGUCGGAAGCAAGAAGAUGCAUUGAACGGGCGAAAUUCAGCAUUUUUCUGCUUGCUGUACCGGUACAGCCAUUACCUUGUACCGGUACAAGCUGGCAGAAUCGUGGCAGCAAGGCUAGUUUGGUCUUUUCACAUUUGAUACCUAUCUAUUUGAUCCCAGCACGACUCUGGGACUUUAGUGGAGUGUGCUAGAGUGCAGAGGAGCUUCCUCCACCUUCUUUCUCUCUCUCUCUCUAGGGUUUUUCUCUCUCUACAUAGAAUUCGACGAUUUCGCUCGUUUUCGUCGCAACGUUGGUUCUUCGCUGUUCGCAAGUGUCGCAGGGCCUACGUGGACGUGUGAGGGAGUAUUUUGGAGAACUUUUCGCAGCUCUGGACCAGUAGCUCACUGGUUGCAAGCUUGAGAAGGUAAUCGGCUCACUUUUUUAAUUUUCGGCAACCUAUUAGUCGAUUUAUGUGUGGAUUUCGGGAUUGUUGCAUCUAGUUGCUUUAAUCUGAGUUUUCAGCAAGUAAAAUGACUUAAGUAGCUGUGAAUUUACCCUGGGAUAAGCUGAUUUGCCACUUGAAUAAGUAAUGAGUAACUAUAAUGCGAAUUCGGGACUAUACGACGUCUAAUUGCAUAAUUGAUGCAAGUUGGAAUUGGUAUCUUCGCAGCAGGUUUCCUGAGUCCAUUGAGCUUAAUUGGUGGCCUUGGGGACUGGUCUAGAAGUGUUCUAACUUGAGGUAAGCAGGAAUUUCAGUUAGAAAACUGAAUUCGCAAGAUUCCGACUAUAUUUGCUAAUAUAUGAUAAUUUUGAUGCCGUUUCGAUGUUGUUCGCAGCGAGAGUGCGAACGAGCCUUGGAUCGUCGUUAGCUGACUUGUGAGAGCUUUUGGAGACUUAUCUUGAGGUAUUGAACUUGCCCCAAAGCAGGGAUUCAAGCUAUUACCUUGUACUAAGGGUAAUUUAGGCCGAAAUCGGAUAUUUCGGUCGUCAUUUUGACGUGGUUUUGUUACUUUGUUUUCAGCAGGAUUGGGACCUUGUUGAGCUGAUUCCUGGGACAUCUUGUGACUGAUUUGAGCUUAAUACGAGGUGGGUCGGACCUAACCAGAGCAAGUGAAGCUCCUCUAUGUUCUAUAUGUCACUAUAGAGAAUUGAUAUACAUGUGUGUAUUGUCACUAGGUAGUUGCUAAAGAAUUGGGAACAUCCUUGCGAUAAGGCUUAACAUAAUGGAAAUAGAACCUCUAUGAAGUAGAGAGCACUCAUGCAUAAGUGUCUUUAUGCUCAUGUUUAUGUUUAUAAUUAGUUAAGUUAACUAAUGGAUAUACUAAUGAUGCUUUUGUAAAGUAGAGAACACUGACAUGCCAUGUGACUAUGUUGAUAGUGCCAUGAUAGUGGAAAGACUCUAAUGCCAUAUAUGAACUAGCAUUACUCUUACAUAGUUGUUAUCUAGUGGAUACUAGUCGUUGUUAAUAUUGAUUAUAUUGAAAUCCC
rnacentral:lncRNA from 1 species